rnacentral:Y_RNA from 1 species
GGCUGGUCCGAUGGUAGUGGGUUAUCAGAACUUAUUAACAUUAGUGUCACUAAAGUUGGUAUUCAACCCCCCACUGCUAAAUUUGACUGGCUAAAA